GCUCUGGAAAGGGAUGGCUCAGCCGGUAGAACAUGAGACUCUUAAUCUCAGGGUUGUGGGUUCGAGUCCCAUGUUGGGCA